ACUUCAAAUUUGUUUGCACUCGUGGAUUUUUUAAUUAUUGCCGAAAUGAAAAUUUUGCAUUCCCUGGGAAGCGUGUUCAGCAACCGAUAGUUCAGUCACUACUGCUUGGCACUCACAACGAAUAGUGUUACAAAUCACGGGUUUGUGAUUAAAAUAUAGAAAUCCAUAACGCCAUGUGGAACUUAUACCAGAAAAGCUGUAAUACUCUUUUGAAUUACCAAAAACGGCGGCAAAUCUUGCCGAUUAGUAACGGAUAAAUAGCCGAUGUUUUUCCGUUAAAUUUAAACUAGUAAUAAAUAUACAAUAAAUUCAAAUGCUAAUACAUAAAUUACGCCUUAAUAAAUAAAUAUCAAUAAUAAAUAAGAAU
ensembl:ncRNA lncRNA:CR46257 long non-coding RNA:CR46257